GAUGAACGCUGGCGGCGUGCUUAACACAUGCAAGUCGAACGAAGCACUUUAUUUGAUUUCCUUCGGGACUGAUUAUUUUGUGACUGAGUGGCGGACGGGUGAGUAACGCGUGGGUAACCUGCCUUGUACAGGGGGAUAACAGUUGGAAACGGCUGCUAAUACCGCAUAAGCGCACAGCAUCGCAUGAUGCAGUUUGAAAAACUCCGGUGGUAUAAGAUGGACCCGCGUUGGAUUAGCUAGUUGGUGAGGUAACGGCCCACCAAGGCGACGAUCCAUAGACGACCUGAGAGGGUGACCGGCCACAUUGGGACUGAGACACGGCCCAAACUCCUACGGGAGGCAGCAGUGGGGAAUAUUGCAAAAUGGGCGAAAGCCUGAUGCAGCGACGCCGCGUGAGCGAAGAAGUAUUUCGGUAUGUAAAGCUCUAUCAGCAGGGAAGAUAAUGACGGUACCUGACUAAGAAGCACCGGCUAAAUACGUG
rnacentral:rRNA from 1 species